rnacentral:rRNA from 1 species
AGUGAACGCUGGCGGUAGGCCUAACACAUGCAAGUCGAACGGCAGCACAGUAAGAGCUUGCUCUUACGGGUGGCGAGUGGCGGACGGGUGAGGAAUACAUCGGAAUCUACUUUUUCGUGGGGGAUAACGUAGGGAAACUUACGCUAAUACCGCAUACGACCUACGGGUGAAAGCAGGGGAUCUUCGGACCUUGCGCGAUUGAAUGAGCCGAUGUCGGAUUAGCUAGUUGGCGGGGUAAAGGCCCACCAAGGCGACGAUCCGUAGCUGGUCUGGGAGGAUGAUCAGCCACACUGGAACUGAGACACGGUCCAGACUCCUACGGGAGGCAGCAGUGGGGAAUAUUGGACAAUGGGCGCAAGCCUGAUCCAGCCAUACCGCGUGGGUGAAGAAGGCCUUCGGGUUGUAAAGCCCUUUUGUUGGGAAAGAAAAGCAGCAGGUUAAUACCCCGCUGUUCUGACGGUACCCAAGGAAUAAGCACCGGCUAACUUCGUG